rnacentral:misc_RNA from 1 species
GUGCAAAUAAGUAUAACUUUCAAAUCAAUAUUUUAGAAUUCAAUGAUUAAAGCAUUCUUACUAAACCCAGAUUGAAACGACAAGUCAGAUAGCUAAUUAAAUUUUAAAUUGAUAUGAAUUUAUAAUUGAAUCAAAUAAAAAAGUUAUUUGAUUGACUUGAUAAUUGAACUAGUGAACCGAUAUGAACUUGUUGACCUGGCCAGUUUGACCAGUCAAUAGAAACAUUUUUUUCUUAAGUGUUUUCAAGGGAAUUAAACUCAAAAUCUGAAAAGAACUUUAAAAUCAAACCAAUUGAAUUAGCUUGAUAAUUGUAUGUUUAUUAUUGCAAC